GUUCUCCAGGGUGCAUUGUAGUUGCAUUGCACUGUCAUAAUGUGCAAUGUUACAUCAGUGCAAUAUGGAUUUCCGCACAGUCAUC
rnacentral:miRNA from 1 species